rnacentral:misc_RNA from 1 species
GUGAUUGGCGCGUAUGGGCAUGUCGGAUCCCUGCUCUGGCAGCGACGACGUGCCCUGCCCGCCUUUUCAGUCGGUGGUCCAAGUGCGUGCCAGCCUUGGCCGUUCUUGGUUUCCUGCGUUGCAUACCCGUUGCGAGGGCAUUCGGUCGGCUAGAAAGUCCCAUUUCCGCCUAGMAUCGUGCCUCUUGGGCCACGGUGCGGGGUGGACCUCGAAGCACCCGUCGUGUUCCACUUCCCGCGAGCGUUAACGCGCGUUCGGGUUGUUGGCCCACGGCGUCGUGCUCGAUCUCUCGGAUGCGGAAAGUCCAGUGGGCACGAGGCCUCCGGUCUCUAUUUGUCCCGAAACAAGCGUUCCACGCUUCGUGCGAGUGACGGCCGUUGCUGCUCUGAUCGAGCCUCGUGGCUCGGUUCAUGCGGCGCCGGCGUCCGUGAGGAAUGCU